GAUUAGAUACCCCUGUAGUCCUAGCCGUAAACGAUACUCGCUAGGUGUCGGCCACGGUGCGACCGUUGUCGGUGCCGUAGGGAAGCCGUGAAGCGAGCCACCUGGGAAGUACGGCCGCAAGGCUGAAACUUAAAGGAAUUGGCGGGGGAGCACCACAACGGGUGGAGCUUGCGGUUUAAUUGGAUUCAACGCCGGAAAUCUUACCGGGACCGACAGCAAUAUGAAGGCCAGGCUGAAGACUUUGCCGGAUUAGCUGAGAGGUGGUGCAUGGC
rnacentral:rRNA from 1 species